rnacentral:lncRNA from 1 species
CUUAAUUAAUCAACAAAAUCACCAACAAUUAAUUCCAGAAAAAGUGUAACAAUUACUGAAAUUAAUCCUUCAAUAAAUCAAAAGUCUAAUAUCCAAGAGUAUCGUAACAAAGAUGCUAACAAUAACCAAGAGUCUAACCCUAAAAACGAGGUUUUUUCAACUAUUUAUAAACAACAAAAGCCUAAUAAAAGAAGGACUCUAAUUGCUGAAAAUUUGUCAAAACGCGUCCGAGUCGACGGACCUCGUGACGGGCCGUAGUGGUCACGAAGGGCCAUCAUGGCCUCCGUCAUCCUAUACUUCACAACUUCUUCUUCUGCUUUCUUCAUUACCCUCGACGAACAGGUAUGACGGACCAUUCCAAGCACGACGGUCUGUAAAGGGUCUUCGUUCUAUAACACUUAGACUUCUUGGAAUUUGGGUACUGGAACUACUCUCUGAUCAGCACGACGAACCAACAGGACGGACUGUCGUGUUUAUGAUGGUCCGUCAUGAACUUCGUAAUCCCACAAUUGGUCAGACUUCCCCAUCUUCCUUCAACAACUUCACCAUGAUGCCACCUACGGACCGUCACACGCUCGACGGACCGUCACAAGCUCCGUAGGUGGUAACUUUUCUGCAUUUCUUGCUCAAAAAUUUCCGCGUUCAUCUUUAGACAGAUUUCCUGCAAAUAAAGAGAAACUUACAUAAAAAUCAAUACAAAAAGGCUUUUGGACACACACUAAACUUAAGGAAAAAACAUUAAAUAUACCGUGAAACCACAGUAUAUCAUGAAGCUCAUAAACUGAGAGCUAAAUACAAAUCCAAAAAAUGCAAAUUGUUGGGCUGUGAUGCUAUUUAUAAGAAUUCUGGUAACUUUAUGAUUCAGAAUUAUCAUUCUAUACACAAGUAUUCUACAUCAAAUAAGAACAAAAUGUGUACAACUAAGUUCAUGACAAGUAGAUUCAUGGAUUAAAUAACUAAGAAAUCAUCUUUGAGGAUUUGAAAAAUACAAAAAUUGUGCAGGAAAAUUAGGAUUAUAUGUGGGUAGAACAAUUUGUUACAAGGCAAAGAUAAUGAUUUUUAGAGAUAUCAUGUGUGAUUUGUAUAUGUAAUUUGCAAGGUUAUCUGAUUAUGUUGAAGUUGUAGAACAAACCACUUCUGAUAUAUAAAAUGUUUGGAUAAGGAUAGAUAGUGAAACUCAUGUACUAGGAAAGAAUUUGUUUGUGUACUUAUAUGUAUGCUUUGAUACAUUGAAGAAGGAGCGGAAGGAAGGAUGUAGAAGAUUAAUAGAAUUUGAUGGAUAUUUCGUAAAGAGUGCUUGUAAGGGUGAGCUUUUAAUAGCAGUUGGAAGGAAUGAAAACAAUCAGAUAUUUCCUAUAGCCUAGGCAGUUGUGGACAAGGAGACAAAACACA